UAGGGAAUCUUCCGCAAUGGACGAAAGUCUGACGGAGCAACGCCGCGUGAGUGAUGAAGGUUUUCGGAUCGUAAAACUCUGUUGUUAGGGAAGAACAAGUGCCAUUCGAAUAGGUUGGCACCUUGACGGUACCUAACCAGAAAGCCCCGGCUAACUACGUGCCAGCAGCCGCGGUAAUACGUAGGGGGCAAGCGUUGUCCGGAAUUAUUGGGCGUAAAGCGCGCGCAGGCGGUCCUUUAAGUCUGAUGUGAAAGCCCACGGCUUAACCGUGGAGGGCCAUUGGAAACUGGAGGACUUGAGUACAGAAGAGGAGAGUGGAAUUCCACGUGUAGCGGUGAAAUGCGUAGAGAUGUGGAGGAACACCAGUGGCGAAGGCGACUCUCUGGUCUGUAACUGACGCUGAGGUGCGAAAGCGUGGGUAGCGAACAGGAUUAGAUACCCUGGUAGUCCACGCCGUAAACGAUGAGUGCUAGGUGUUAGGGGGUUUCCGCCCCUUAGUGCUGAAGUUAACGCAUUAAGCACUCCGCCUGGGGAGUACGGCCGCAAG
rnacentral:rRNA from 1 species